ACCUGGGUGGCUCAGUCGGUUAAGCAUCUGACUUCGGCUCAGGUUAUGAUCUCGCGGUCUGUGAGUUCGAGCCUCGCGUCAGGCU
rnacentral:tRNA from 1 species